UACGUAGGGUGCAAGCGUUGUCCGGAAUUAUUGGGCGUAAAGAGCUCGUAGGCGGUUUGUCGCGUCUGCUGUGAAAACUCAGGGCUUAACCCUGAGCCUGCUUCCGAUACGGGCAGACUAGAGGUAUGCAGGGGAGAACGGAAUUCCUGGUGUAGCGGUGAAAUGCGCAGAUAUCAGGAGGAACACCAAUGGCGAAGGCAGCUCGCUGGGACGUGACUGACGCUGAGACGCGAAAGCGUGGGGAGCAAACAGG
rnacentral:rRNA from 1 species